GAUGAACGCUGGCGGCGUGCUUAAUACAUGCAAGUCGAGCGAAGCACUUUAACGGAAUUCUCCGGAAGGAAGGUAAAGUGACUGAGCGGCGGACGGGUGAGUAACGCGUGGGUAACCUGCCUUAUACAGGGGGAUAACAGUUAGAAAUGGCUGCUAAUACCGCAUAAGCGCACAGGGCCGCAUGGCCCGGUGUGAAAAACUCCGGUGGUAUAAGAUGGACCCGCGUCUGAUUAGCUGGUUGGUGGGGUAACGGCCCACCAAGGCGACGAUCAGUAGCCGACCUGAGAGGGUGACCGGCCACAUUUGGGACUGAGACACGGCCCAA
rnacentral:rRNA from 1 species